rnacentral:tRNA from 1 species
CGGGCAGUAGCUCAGUGGUAGAGCUCUCGCUUCAUGCGUGGGAAAACCUAGGUUCGAUUCCCGGCUGCUUAC